UACGUAGGGCGCAAGCGUUGUCCGGAAUUAUUGGGCGUAAAGAGCUCGUAGGCGGUUUGUCGCGUCUGUCGUGAAAGCUUGGGGCUUAACCCUAAGUCUGCGGUGGAUACGGGCAGACUAGAGGCAGGUAGGGGAGAACGGAAUUCCCGGUGUAGCGGUGAAAUGCGCAGAUAUCGGGAGGAACACCGGUGGCGAAGGCGGUUCUCUGGGCCUGUACUGACGCUGAGGAGCGAAAGCGUGGGGAGCGAACAGG
rnacentral:rRNA from 2 species